UACGGAGGGAGCUAGCGUUGUUCGGAAUUACUGGGCGUAAAGCGCGCGUAGGCGGCUUUCUAAGUCAGGGGUGAAAUCCUGGAGCUCAACUCCAGAACUGCCUUUAAGACUGCAUCGCUUGAAUCAUGGAGAGGUGAGUGGAAUUCCGAGUGUAGAGGUGAAAUUCGUAGAUAUUCGGAAGAACACCAGUGGCGAAGGCGACUCACUGGACAUGUAUUGACGCUGAGGUGCGAAAGCGUGGGGAGCAAACAGG
rnacentral:rRNA from 1 species